rnacentral:rRNA from 1 species
GUAGGUGGCAAGCGUUGUCCGGAAUUAUUGGGCGUAAAGCGCGCGCAGGCGGUCCUUUAAGUCUGAUGUGAAAGCCCACGGCUCAACCGUGGAGGGUCAUUGGAAACUGGGGGACUUGAGUACAGAAGAGGAAAGCGGAAUUCCAAGUGUAGCGGUGAAAUGCGUAGAGAUUUGGAGGAACACCAGUGGCGAAGGCGGCUUUCUGGUCUGUAACUGACGCUGAGGCGCGAAAGCGUGGGGAGCAAACAGGGAUUAGAUACCCUGGUAGUCCACGCCGUAAACGAUGAGUGCUAAGUGUUAGGGGGUUUCCCGCCCCUUAGUGCUGCAGCUAACGCAUUAAGCACUUCGCCUGGGGAGUACGGCCGCAAGGCUG